rnacentral:rRNA from 1 species
AUUGAACGCUGGCGGCAGGCCUAACACAUGCAAGUCGAGCGCGCGUCGCACGGGUGAGUAUUGUCUCGGAAAAUGUCUCAUGGGGGGGGGUAUCUACUGGAAACACUGUCUAAUACCGCAUACCCUCAGAUGUGCCCCGAUGGGGUUAGCUCGUAGGUGGGGUAACGGCUCACCCCGGCGACGAUCCCUCGCUGGUCUGAGAGGAUGACCAGCCACAAUGGAACUGAGACACGGUCCAGACUCCUACGGGAGGCAGCAGUGGGGAAUAUUGCACAAUGGGCGCAAGCCUGAUGCAGCCAUGCCGCGUGUGUGAAGAAGGCCUUCGGGUUGUAAAGCACUUUCAGCGGGGAGGCGUUACCCGCAGAAGAAGCACCGGCUAACUCCGUGCCAGCAGCCGCGGUAAUAC